rnacentral:lncRNA from 1 species
AACUCUUUUUGGAACAACAAAUAGGCUUGAAAGCCGAGAUAGGAAGGCUAUAAAUUCCAUGCAUAUUCAAGUCAUUCCAAAAGACAUCCUCAUCACCAUACUUCAAAUGAUCACCGGAAUCAAAUAGGUGGAGUGUCCAUGGACACGGGUUUAGGAUGCAUUUCCUUUUCCCAAUACUAUUACUAGUACAAUCAUAUAUCCCCUUUAUACUAGCAUGGUCUACAACAAAAACAACUAGAGGGUCAACCAUAGUCAAUCGGCCAACAUGUUCAACAUCACCAUUUUCA